rnacentral:rRNA from 1 species
GAUGAACGCUAGCGGCAGGCCUAAUACAUGCAAGUCGAACGGUAAGUAUGGUAGCAAUAUUAUACGAGAGUGACGUACGGGUGCGUAACACGUAUGCAACCUACCCUUUACAGGCGGAUAGCUCGGGGAAACUCGAAUUAACCCGUCAUAAUAUAAUUGGAUGGCAUCAUUUGAUUAUUAAAACUCCGGUGGUAAAGGAUGGGCAUGCGUCUGAUUAGUUAGUUGGCGGGGUAACGGCCCACCAAGACGAUGAUCAGUAGGGGAACUGAGAGGUUGAUCCCCCACACUGGCACUGAGAUACGGGCCAGACUCCUACGGGAGGCAGCAGUAGGGAAUAUUGGUCAAUGGAUACAAGUCUGAACCAGCCAUGCCGCGUGCAGGAAGAAGGCCUUCUGGGUUGUAAACUGCUUUUGCCAGGGGAUAAAAUUUCCUUGCGAGGAAAAUUGAAGGUACCUGGUGAAUAAGCCACGGCUAACUACGUGCCAGCAGCCGCGGUAAUACGUAGGUGGCAAGCGUUGUCCGGAUUUAUUGGGUUUAAAGGGUGCGUAGGCGGCUUUGUAAGUCAGUGGUGAAAUAUGUCAGCUUAACUGAGAGGGUGCCAUUGAUACUGCAGAGCUUGAGUACAGAUGAGGUAGGCGGAAUUGACGGUGUAGCGGUGAAAUGCUUAGAUAUCGUCAAGAACACCUAUAGCGAAGGCAGCUUACUAGGCUGUAACUGACGCUGAGGCACGAAAGUGUGGGGAUCAAACAGGAUUAGAUACCCUGGUAGUCCACACUGUAAACGUUGAUUACUCGCUGUGUGCGAUAUACAGUACGCGGCCAAGCGAAAGCGAUAAGUAAUCCACCUGGGGAGUACGCCGGCAACGGUG